UACGUAGGGGUGCAAGCGUUGUCCGGAAUUAUUGGGGCGUAAAGAGCUCGUAGGCGGUUUGUCGCGUCUGCUGUGAAAACUCGGGGCUUAACUCCGGGCCUGCAGUGGGUACGGGCAGACUAGAGUGCGGUAGGGGAGACUGGAAUUCCUGGUGUAGCGGUGAAAUGCGCAGAUAUCAGGAGGAACACCGGUGGCGAAGGCGGGUCUCUGGGCCGUAACUGACGCUGAGGAGCGAAAGCGUGGGGAGCGAACAGG
rnacentral:rRNA from 1 species